GGGGAAAAGGGGGAUGUGCGGCAAGCGAACGAUGUAAUCAGAGGGCGUGAGCGUCGAUCGAAGUGCCUACGUUGAGAGUUACGCAGGACGACGAUUGCAGGUGGCGGUCACGAUGUACGAAGGGUGGUCACGACGUACAAACGUGAAAAAAAACUUAAAUUUUAUUAGUAGUAUACUCGUUGCUACGGUGAAAUAUUAAUUAUAUUUUUUAAAAGUCAUGUAUGUUUUUUUAUUUCUUCUACUAUAUUUUUAUUACACUUAAUGGAUUAUCAAUGGAAUUUUGACUUGAAAACUUCUUUUCUACUCAAAUACUGGUUACAUCCUUUUUUA
rnacentral:lncRNA from 1 species